AAAUGAAUGGAAAUCGUCACAUCUGAUAUUUCUGAACCGCAUCCAGGGAAAGACGAACUCUUUCUGAGACUUGGCCAUGCAAUCAACGAACCAAGGUCGGAGAUCGGGGAUAUCCAACCCAGUAGCUCACUGAAGUUGCAGUCAGGUUGAUAUGUUCUCGAUGGAAAUCGUGGAGGAACGGAGUGCAAAAAAAAGCUUCGUACCUGAUAGCUUCCAAUGACGUGAACGACGACGAACAUGUUGGCCAUGGCGAUCAACCAUCGGGGCUUAUUCAGGGUGAUAAGGAUGUUGUCCUUCACAGCGUUGCCGAAC